UAGAGUUUGAUCAUGGCUCAGGACGAACGCUGGCGGCGUGCCUAAUGCAUGCAAGUCAAACGGUCCGGCUUCGGUCGGGCCGUGGCGCACGGCUGAGUAGCACGUGGGAACCUGCCCGCCGGUGGGGGAUAUCGCCGCGAAAGCGGUGCCAAUCCCGCAUACGGUCUCCGGACGAAAGCGCGCAAGCGCGCCGGCGGAGGGGCCUGCGGCCCAUCAGGUCGUUGGUAGGGUAACGGCCUACCAAGCCGAUGACGGGUUGCUGGUCUGUGAGGACGACCAGCCAGACUGGGACUGAGACACGGCCCAGACUCCUACGGGAGGCAGCAGCAAGGAAUUUUCGGCAAUGGGCGCAAGCCUGACCGAGCAACGCCGCGUGCGGGAUGACGGCCUUCGGGUUGUAAACCGCUUUUGCGGGGGACGAUCAUGACGGUACCCCGCGAAUCAGCCCCGGCUAACUCUGUGCCAGCAGCCGCGGUAAGACAGAGGGGGCCAGCGUUGUCCGGACUUACUGGGCGUAAAGCGUCCGCAGGUGGUGGGGCAAGUGGCUGCUGAAAGCGCCGGGCUUAACCCGGCGAGGCGUGGCCAAACUGCCGCACUCGAGCCCGGCAGAGGUCGCUGGAAUUGCCGGUGUAGUGGUGAAAUGCGUAGAGAUCGGCAGGAACACCAAGGGGGAAGCCAGGCGACUGGGCCGGCGCUGACACUCAGGGACGACAGCGUGGGGAGCCAACCGGAUUAGAUACCCUGGUAGUC
rnacentral:rRNA from 1 species